rnacentral:rRNA from 1 species
CCCUACGGGGGGCAGCAGUGGGGGAUAUUGCACAAUGGGGGGAACCCUGAUGCAGCGACGCCGCGUGAGUGAAGAAGUAUUUCGGUAUGUAAAGCUCUAUCAGCAGGGAAGAAGAUGACGGUACCUGAUUAAGAAGCCCCGGCUAACUACGUGCCAGCAGCCGCGGUAAUACGUAGGUGGCGAGCGUUAUCCGGAAUGAUUGGGCGUAAAGGGUGCGCAGGCGGUCCUGCAAGUCUGGAGUGAAACGCAUGAGCUCAACUCAUGCAUGGCUUUGGAAACUGGAGGACUGGAGAGCAGGAGAGGGG